rnacentral:rRNA from 1 species
GACGAACGCUGGCGGCGUGCUUAACACAUGCAAGUCGAACGGAAAGGCCCUGCUUUUGUGGGGUGCUCGAGUGGCGAACGGGUGAGUAACCCGUGAGUAACCUGCCCUUGACUUUGGGAUAACUUCAGGAAACUGGGGCUAAUACCGGAUAGGAGCUCCUGCUGCAUGGUGGGGGUUGGAAAGUUUCGGCGGUUGGGGAUGGACCCGCGGCUUAUCAGCUUGUUGGUGGGGUAGUGGCUUACCAAGGCUUUGACGGGUAGCCGGCCUGAGAGGGUGACCGGCCACAUGGGGACUGAGAUACGGCCCAGACUCCUACGGGAGGCAGCAGUGGGGAAUAUUGCACAAUGGGCGGAAGCCUGAUGCAGCAACGCCGCGUGCGGGAUGACGGCCUUCGGGUUGUAAACCGCUUUCGCCUGUGACGAAGCGUGAGUGACGGUAAUGGGUAAAGAAGCACCGGCUAACUACGUG